AGGAUCAUUAACAAAUUACAACGUUUGUUGAAACACACUCUGCGUAUCUUUACAUGUUGCUUCCCCCCGUCGGGCUCGUUCCGGGCGGGGGGGAGGGAGCCCCAAACUCUUGCAAUCGAAGGAAUCGGUCUGAAGGAAAACCUGUUUGUAUUCAAACGUUUUAAAACUUUCAACAACGGAUCUCUUGGUUCUCCCAUCGAUGAAGAACGCAGCGAAAUGCGAUAAGUAGUGUGAAUUGCAGAAUUCAGUGAAUCAUCGAAUCUUUGAACGCACAUUGCGCCCUCCGGUAUUCCRGRGGGCAUGCCUGUUCGAGCGUCAUCAAAACCACUCAGGUUGAUGUUUUUCGAAACCCCAGCYUGGUCUUGGGCGCGAGGGAUCAGAACCCUCUGCCUGCAAUGCAGUGGCGGAUWUKCCGGCCUGGCAAGAGCGUGAUAAACACGUCGUUCGCGAUUGGAGGCCGGAAUGCACAGCCAUAAUGAACCCCCAAAUCUAUUUUMAAGUUUGACCUCGGAUCAGGYAGGGAUACCCGCUGAACUUAAGCAUAUCAAUAAGCGGAGGAAAAGAAACCAACAGGGAUUGCCUUAGUAACUGCGAGUGAAGCGGCAAAAGCUCAAAUUUGAAAUCUGUGCCCUUCCGGGCACCGAGUUGUAAUCUUGAGAUACGUUUUCGACCGACAGGCCUGCCUUAAGUUCCUUGGAACAGGGCGUCACAGAGGGUGAGAAUCCCGUGAAGGGUAGGCCUCGAGGCGCAU
rnacentral:rRNA from 1 species